rnacentral:lncRNA from 1 species
GCAAACAGUUUUGGGAUUGCUUUAACCUUGAAAAUGUUUUUUUCCAUACCCUUUAUAUUUUUUUUCUCAGGGUUGUUUCCUGACCAAUUCCUGCUGCAACAAAGACGAUGUAAAACCAAGCUGGGACUCCAUCAGCUCCUGAAGAGGGACAAGUCCAAGCUGAGAGUUGUCCUGUUAGCUCCCAGCACUGUGUUGGCAUGGCUGUGCCAUGCCCACUUCCAGAGGAGGGAUUGCCACAUGAACCUCAGCAUUUCAGCUAAUUUGACAUCACCUCCUGGAAGCAGAGGACUCUCUGUAAGGAUAGCAAGUGACUGA